CAUGUAUGUCCAUGUAUGUCCAUGUAUAAGAACGCAGAAUUAAGUAUCUUAAUGACAUAUGGAAUCUUAAGUGCUGAAAAUCAUUGAACAGACUUAGGAACGACCAGAGGACAGACCUCAUAGGCGGUAAAGGUGUAGAUGGAAACUCUGAUACAGGUGGCCUCUCCAAAGGUAGCUAUGGAGUUUUUAUUCAGAUUAAUACAAGUAUCCUGGACUCCUGCUCUAUUAGGCAGAUCUGCAGGAAUGCUUUAGAGAUAUUUAUGUCAUGGGGAGAAAAAAAGAAAAA